rnacentral:rRNA from 1 species
AGAGUUUGAUUCUGGCUCAGGAUGAACGCUGGCGGCGUGCUUAACACAUGCAAGUCGAACGGGCUUAAGAUUGAAGCUUGCUUUAGUCUUAAGUUAGUGGCGGACGGGUGAGUAACGCGUGGGUAACCUACCCUGUGCAGGGGGGAUAGCAGCUGGAAACGGCUGAUAAAACCGCAUAACACGGUAGCACCGCAUGGUGCAGCCGUCAAAUAUUGAUAGGCACAGGAUGGGCCCGCGUCUGAUUAGCUAGUUGGCGGGCAACGGCCCACCAAGGCGACGAUCAGUAGCCGGCCUGAGAGGGUGAACGGCCACAGUUGGGACUGAGACACCGGACCCAAACUCCUACGGGAGGCAGCAGGUGGGGAAUAUUGGACAAUGGGGGGAACCCUGAUCCAGCGAACCGCCGCGUGAGUGAAGAAGUAUUUCGGUAUGUAAAGCUCUAUCAGCAGGGAAGAUGAUGACGGUACCUGACUAAGAAGCACCGGCUAAAUACGUGCCAGCCGCUGC